CGGUUGAAAGUGACGAGGAGAUUGAGAGGGAACCAGUAAAACGGAGGGAGCGCAAAAUGCCAAGAAACGACGGAUAAGUCUCAAAACCAUUCGGGUAGGAAUGCCGGAACGAGAGAAGAGUCGCCGCCGAGGGUGGCUUUGG